AGGUAGAUAUCUCCACGAAAAAUAAGGGGGAGGUUGAGAAAAAGAAUGAUCUUGAUGGUAUUAAUGAACUAAAAGCUUCUGCAGAACCUAUGGAAGUGGAAGGUGAACUGGAGAAGCUGAAUCGUGAUGUAAGUCAAAGCAAUCUCAAUCUUCAUGGGGAAGAUGGUAAAGGGAAUCUAAAAGUGUGCGAAGAAGAUGUAGAAAAUGAAAAUGCGGGGAUUUUAAUUAAGAAAGAUGAUAAGAAGAAGAAGAAGGGUAAGAAAGAUGAGGCGAGGGAGAAGAAAAUUGAUGAUGAAGGGACCAUGAGGAAUCUGCGAGAGAAAAAAGAAGAGAUAGAUAUUUCUGUGAAGAAAAAUAUUGAUCUUGAUGGUAUUAAUGACCUAAAAGAUUCUUCGGAACCUAUGGAAGUGGAAAGUGAACUGGAGAAGCUGAAUCGUGAUGUAAGUCAAACCAUCUAUUUCUUCAUACAAUUAUUUCUGGUAUGCCUAAGUUUCUGUUUUUGCAUUUGAUGAAUAAAAAAUUUGAGC
rnacentral:lncRNA from 1 species